UAAUUAGUUAUAACAUGAGAAUUUGCUACUUAAAUAAAAAUCAAUUAAAACUAUACAAUGAGUAGAUAAAGAAAUAUGAGCAUCAGGCAAGGAAACAACAAACUAAAGCAUCUAUUGCUUUCAUUUCAUCUUCAAAUUAGACUUUACAUCUUGAAAGAUUCAGAACUUGUACCUGGAAUAAUGAGAGAAAAUAAAGGAGAUUCAGUAAAUGAAAGCAACAGCAGCAGCACAACAAAAGUAUGAACCCAGGAAUUAAAAAAAAGGAGUGGCUAGCUUUGAAGCAAUUUCAAACCAACAAAAUGUUAAAUGAAAUCCAGCAAUUGAAAAUCCAACCAAAAAUGACCCAAACACUUCAAUAUCAGCAGAUUCAACUCAUUUUACCCUUUUCAGCUGUUCAAGAAUUAUUUUAGAGUAAAGAACUUUAAAAAUUUCAGAAAUUUUCUAAUAGAACAGUAUUCUGUUGAAGUUUUUCAAUUGUUUCUCUUGGAAAUCUAGACCUUCUUGCCAUACCAGAAUGUAAUGCCUUUUAUAGGCAAACAAAUAAGGCAACUACAGAAUUUUGCUUUGCACUACUAGUCCCUGAAUUUAUGACUUGUUUUCCAAGUUAAGGCCUGAAAUUUGAUUACAAGUCCUUGCUAGAAGCUUCUAGGGGCUUCCUAUUUCUCUUGUAACAAGAUUCUCUAAGGCUAAUCCCUAAUUUACCCCUAACAAAUAUGUUAUUUACCUUUACCCCUUUCCUUAAGACCCUUCUAGUUUUUUAGAGGGACAAUUAAACCCUAAAACCCCUUGAAAUAUGACAAACGAGAUUAUUAAAAUGCUAGGGCUUCAAAACAAUCCAACCAUAAAGGACUUCAAAACAAUCCAACCAUAAAAAUUCUUUAAAGAAAAAAGACAUAAAUUUAUCAAGUGAAAACAAAUUGAUCAUGAAUCAAAUGCACAACACAAACUUUUAACAAUAAACUCCAUUAUACGACUUAUCAUAACUAAGCUAAACAUUGAUUUAAACUAGUCUAAAACCUAAGCUAACUAUCAUGCAAUGGUCAACCUAAUUAACUACAGAAAUUAAAAUACCACACAAAAAGGAAAGACUUGUACCGCUCGAUUAACACGCACGACUUAAUUUAAACUCAGGAAUUGAACAUGAAGUUCAAACCAACAGAAAAGGGAUGAGGAGGAAGGAAAAUCAAAAGGAAACGAGGGAGAACUUACCUAUUUGUUUAGAAUUGAACACCGGACUCGAGUAAAACCUUCAUGUAUCAUCUUUAAAAUUCUGGAAUAAUAAAUUUUAAUUCCGAGUAGUUGUGGAGGUAUUCAAGGGUAGUUGAGUGCGGACUUUGGAUGAGGGGGGCGAGAAGGUUAUAAGGUAUGAUUUUGGGGUAAUUUGGUGGUGGUGGGGUUUUGCCGCCUCUCAUUGAUCCAAUAUUCAAGAGGUUUGGCUGGGAUUCGAAGGAAGAUAAUGGUCGAUUCAUGAUGAGGGAGCCGAGGGGAGGUUGUGGUGUAAGUUUGGUCGUGAGUGGAGACUCGCCGCCGCCGUAGGCGAUUUUUGGCGACGACAUUUUAGGGCGGCAUUACAGGGUUGGUCUCUGAGGGUUUGAUGGAGAAGAGAAGCAAAGAGGGUGGGGGGUCAUUAGGACAUUUAAAUAUUAAGUGAUCCAAGCUUCUGAGCCACUGGAUCACUCAAUGUAGACGGCUGAGAUCGAACGAGAGAAAACAACAUCGGUUGAUCGUCUAGAUAGGAGACGGGGUUAGGCGCAUAGAUUUGGGCCGGUUCAGGGGUGAUUUUGGACAGGUUCAAGGUGUUUUUGAACGGGUUUAGGUUUAAAGCAACCAAAAAUUUGGUCUCUUUUAUCAAAACUUAAUUCUUUUUAAUUUUCUUUUCUUUUUUUUCACAUUAAAACUAAAAAUCUAAAUUAACCUACCUAAUUAUAUUAAGCUCUAACUAAUAAUCAACACAAUUAAUUAAAUAUCAAUUUAUAAAAAACAAACAAAAUUCAAAGCUAAAAUUAAACAAAGCCAAUGAGUCAAUUUUAGUAAUUUUGCGUUUUUGUAAAACCCUAAUUACUAAUUAAUCUAAAAUAUAAAAAAUUAAAUCCUAAAUAAAUAUGCAAUAUUUUUGUAUUAUUUAUGAAUUAUCUAAAUUAAAUGUGCACACAAAAUGCAAAUAAUCAUGAAAUUAUGCAAUUAAAUCAUAAAAAUUGAAUAAUUAAAGUAAAAAUUCUAAAUCUAAGUAUUUUGUAGGAGUAAUUCAUGCGAGUAAAAAAUCAUGUGAUCACAAUAGCCAAAUAACAUGCUAAUUUCUUGCCAAAAACAACGGUUCCAGAACAAUAAAUGCCAAAACAAUAUCAUGAUUUGCCGAAACAAGGGGCAAGGCUUGAUUUAACUAACCAAAUGAAUGAGAUGGACUUCUGGGACAUGAAUAAAGAUUUGAAGAGGUACAACGACCCCUGUUCAAGCUGCGAUUUAGUGACUAUGGCUAUAUAAAUUUUAGUAACUCCGACGACGAGUUGGAAGACGAUGCGAUGGUGAUUCAGGUUGAAGGCUUUUGGAAUACUUGGUAGUUAUUUCAAAUUAAGAAUAAAAGAAGGAUAAAAUCAACAUAAUGAUUACGAGGGUUUGUUUUGCUUGGAGAGUCG
rnacentral:lncRNA from 1 species